AAACACUAGAAGCCCAAUGUACACACUAUACAGUGAUAUUCUUCCAAUCUUAUCUUCAAAGAUCAAAUACUAUUUGAAUUGAAACAAGCUAAGAAAAAAAUAGUUAAGAAGAAUUGAAGAUGGAAUUUAUUAUAUAUAUAUGUGGUGAGUGAUUUCCAUGCUAUGCUUGUCAAGUGAGCAGUCCUUUUUUGCUCUUAACCUUUGUCUCAUUGUCUGUUCGACCUUGAAUAAUAUAACCAGCUUAGAUAAAUUUAAAAUAUAAAAAAGUAAAUACACGUACUGUGAACAAGAUUCAAUAUCGAUCAACUGUAUAUAUAUAUAUAUGUAGAUUAAAGAAACUCAUCUAAUAUAUACGUGUAGUUUUUCGACGUAAGGUUAUCCUAGCUCCAGCCUGUUCACAAACCCUAGCUAUUAGGUGAGUAAUUAAGUGAAAAGUCACACAUCUCAACCACUUCAUAUAAUUACCAUGAUUAGCUCUCUUGAUUUUUGGAUUCAAUUAACUUGAGUUGCAGAAAUAUUUUCUCUCUAUGUAUAUUAAUUGGAAAUCGAAAUAUAGGUGUAAAUAGUGCUAUACCUACUAAUGAUUUGCGACAAUAGUAUUGUACUCUUUGAUUGUUUUCUCAAGAAAAAAGUGGACAAAUUAGGAAUUACGAUUCUAGUCACGUUAGGAAAAUUCUCGGUAGCUUAGUUGGUUGACGAACUGAACGUUCACCUUAUUGGUGAGGUUUUAUUUCUCGUCUUCUGAUCUCCUCCCCCGUUUUUCCUUCGAAUCCCUUAUAACCUCAAUUUAAUUAAAAGAUUUUUCUUUUAAAAUAGCACAAGUAGUAGGAAAAUCGUUGUAAUUUUAAAAGAACUUUUUCUUGAUAAAGGAUAAAUAAUUAAGAGGUAGUUAGGGUACAAGAUCUUAGAAGUAUAUAAUUUGUAUAGAAAAGGAAAAAAUAGUCAGUUUUAAUCAGGACUCAUGAGUUUGGUAUAACUCAUUUUUUAAUGUAAUUUUUUCUUUUUUCAUAAUCGUGGUGUUUGGGUCAGCUUUUGCGUAUCUCAACUAAAUCCACGAGAUACCUCCCACCAGCAAUCGACAUCAGAAAACUCUGGGUCAGCUUUUGCGUACCUCAACUAAAUCCACAAGAUACCUCCCACCUCCCACCAGCAAUCGACAUUAGAUAACUCUGUCCACCAAAGAUAUGAGUUGACCAUAUAAUGAAAAAUAGACAGAAAUAAGGGUAAUGACUUUUCCUCUCUGAAGUUUGUUAAAAACGGAUUGCGAAGUAUAAUUGGUGACGACGUUUUAAAUAAAUUGUUUAAUUUUGUUAUAAAGAAGAUGAAUUAUUGAAAGUGUAUCUAAUAAUCCGAUCAUUGAUCGUUUUCAGAAAUAACAAGUCAUCGAGUGUAGUUGCAAUGAUAAUAUUUAGUAUAUUUAUGUACUAUUAAAUGAUUCGUUGCUUUUUAAAUAUAUUGAAUAUCAAUACGUGUUAGUUAGUUUGGUGGUUACUAUAGAUAACCUUGAGGUCGUUAUUCCGUCCUAAAAUUCAAAACCCCAAACUUUAAAUCCUGAAAUCGCCUCAGUAGUUGAUGCUUUGUUAUGUACUUAAGGUCGAACAAACAAUGAAUCUAAGGUAAAAAAGAAGCAAAAAGACUGCUAAUUUGACAAGGUUUGCAUUGAAAUCAACACCAAUUCUUGAAGCUCACAGUUACCAGAAUCAUAUGGAAGUUCAGCUUUCAACUUUUACCAGUUGUAGCAGAAACACACACACAGCUUUGCUAGCUAGUUGAUAUGUUCUUCAAACUAGCUUGUUAUUAAGGGGAGAAGCAAAUACACAACAUAAACACACACAACAUAUUCGGAGCAAAUAAUCCAUUAUAUAUGUCCAUGGAUUAUAAAUAAUAUAUCAUGGCAGGAAGUUACAUGAACGAUGUCUUGUACCAUCUACUGACGUUGACCAUCCACAGUAUCAACAUAGAUUAAUGCCAGUGCAGGCAUUUGGAUCAUCUGGAUUACAAUUGCUGCCACAUAACUUGCAAUUUUAAAGUUCCAGGCAUAUCAACUGCAUGCAUAUAUAUAUAUAUAUAUUAAUAUCCAUCAACGUAAACUAUGAUCAAUAUAUAAAUGUACGUGUACAUAUGUAGAAACAUUGGAAAUUAAGAAAAAAAAAAAGUUUUAAAAGUUACGAACCAAUAGUCAUGGUCAACAGAACAAGGAAGAAAAUAGCAAACUUGUUCACUGCAGCAGCCAUAUUUUGCAAAUUAAAGCUAAUUUGGAUUAUAUUGCUGUGUGCUGAUUUCUUUCAUGAAGAAGGGUCAUAUUUAUAAGCCCCUAUAUAUGUACACUAAUAUUAAUUAAUAAAAUGCCAUUUCUAUCGUUUUAAAAAAAAUAAAAAAUGAAGAAAUUAGAAGUGCAUGUUGUAUAUUUUGAAUGACUCGAAGCUCACAUGGGCAUAAUAUUAUGAAGAUAAAUAUUUAGAUACUGAAUCAUCAAAAUCCAUCGAAGUUGUCAUGUAAUCUUUUCAUUUCUUUCUUCAAACUUAACUUAUGUAUAUAAUCUAUAUCUAUAAUUCAGAAUAUACUAAAAGUGUGAAUAUCUUUGAACCUUAUUCCCUUCAUUAAAAGUCUUUGUUUUAGAUAAAAUUAUUUUUUUACUAUUUCU